CCUGCUUCCAGGAAAAGCCUCUAAGCAUCAGGUAACAUCAAAUCGUACCCCAAACCGACACAGGUGGUCAGGUAGAGAAUACCAAGGCGCUUGAGAGAACUCGGGUGAAGGAACUAGGCAAAAUGGUGCCGUAACUUCGGGAGAAGGCACGCUGAUAUGUAGGUGAAGUCCCUCGCGGAUGGAGCUGAAAUCAGUCGAAGAUACCAGCUGGCUGCAACUGUUUAUUAAAAACACAGCACUGUGCAAACACGAAAGUGGACGUAUACGGUGUGACGCCUGCCCGGUGCCGGAAGGUUAAUUGAUGGGGUUAGCGCAAGCGAAGCUCUUGAUCGAAGCCCCGGUAAACGGCGGCCGUAACUAUAACGGUCCUAAGGUAGCGAAAUUCCUUGUCGGGUAAGUUCCGACCUGCACGAAUGGCGUAAUGAUGGCCAGGCUGUCUCCACCCGAGACUCAGUGAAAUUGAACUCGCUGUGAAGAUGCAGUGUACCCGCGGCAAGACGGAAAGACCCCGUGAACCUUUACUAUAGCUUGACACUGAACAUUGAGCCUUGAUGUGUAGGAUAGGUGGGAGGCUUUGAAGUGUGGACGCCAGUCUGCAUGGAGCCGACCUUGAAAUACCACCCUUUAAUGUUUGAUGUUCUAACGUUGACCCGUAAUCCGGGUUGCGGACAGUGUCUGGUGGGUAGUUUGACUGGGGCGGUCUCCUCCUAAAGAGUAACGGAGGAGCACGAAGGUUGGCUAAUCCUGGUCGGACAUCAGGAGGUUAGUGCAAUGGCAUAAGCCAGCUUGACUGCGAGCGUGACGGCGCGAGCAGGUGCGAAAGCAGGUCAUAGUGAUCCGGUGGUUCUGAAUGGAAGGGCCAUCGCUCAACGGAUAAAAGGUACUCCGGGGAUAACAGGCUGAUACCGCCCAAGAGUUCAUAUCGACGGCGGUGUUUGGCACCUCGAUGUCGGCUCAUCACAUCCUGGGGCUGAAGUAGGUCCCAAGGGUAUGGCUGUUCGCCAUUUAAAGUGGUACGCGAGCUGGGUUUAGAACGUCGUGAGACAGUUCGGUCCCUAUCUGCCGUGGGCGCUGGAGAACUGAGGGGGGCUGCUCCUAGUACGAGAGGACCGGAGUGGACGCAUCACUGGUGUUCGGGUUGUCAUGCCAAUGGCACUGCCCGGUAGCUAAAUGCGGAAGAGAUAAGUGCUGAAAGCAUCUAAGCACGAAACUUGCCCCGAGAUGAGUUCUCCCUGACUCCUUGAGAGUCCUGAAGGAACGUUGAAGACGACGACGUUGAUAGGCCGGGUGUGUAAGCGCAGCGAUGCGUUGAGCUAACCGGUACUAAUGAACCGUGAGGCUUAACCUUACAACGCCGAAGCUGUU
rnacentral:rRNA from 1 species